GUUGUGUGUGUGUGUGUGUGUGUGUGUGUGUGUGUGUGUGUGUGUGUGUGUGUGUGUGUGUCGGAAGAUUUUUGAGCAUCGCUAGGGUUCUACUGUGGGUGGAUGGGUGUGUCACACCUGGCAUGGGGUUCUACGUGUGUGUUUCCGGCUUGCUUUGACAGUGAUAAUGUUCAUACGGGGGUCUGUGAUUGGCUUGGGAUAUUGGAAUGGUCAACUAAAUCAUACCUGAUGGACGGCCACACGUUUACUCAAGGGCCUCCAGUAGACAUGAAGAGCCCUGAGCGACGCUCCGGAGCGAUAUCAACACACUGGGCAGGAAGGAGAGUAUCAAACUCGAGUGUAAAAGGAUGCAAGCGGCGUGUUCAGAUCAGUGACUUCAAACUAGGACUACACCAAUCAGGAUCAAUGGAGGAUGGACCCCAAAAGGAAUUCCACAAGGAGAGUCUGACGUUGGAAAGGGACCUAAAUGGAUAUUCAAGAUGACCUUCAGACCUGUAAUGAGAUGGCUCUUCCUACCUGGCUGGAUUGAUGGAGAGCCCUGUGGAUCUUGUCUUGCUCUCAGUUGCACGUCUUCUCAGGCUGAACUGUAUUUGUUUCGGACAGGACUAGCUGAACGAUUGGUUCCCUUAAAUCCGAACCAAUCCGGGAACUCCAGCUAGUGCGCUCUUCGAGCUGAAGUUGUGUUCUUCAGCUGAGGAGGUAAGGAAACCUUCGCUGGGGCUUCAAGGUGUAAAGAGGAGAAUGUUUCAAAGUGUUCCAUGGUACUCUGAUGAAGACCGUUGUGUUCCACUGGCUGAGAGGAAGAACCCACCCAUCUUCCUCUUGGCCUUUCUCCUGAGAAUCCUGGCGCUAUCUUGUAGGAUAUUCCAGCUCAUGUAACUGAUGUCACGACAGAUUCUCAAACACUUGUUUUCUCCUGAGGGGCAUGUCUAUAGAACUGAAGACUUCAGACAGCACUGUAUCCCAGUAUGCAUCUCUGCUCACUCAGAGCACACCCCCAUGAGUAGGAUGCAACACUCUAGUGAUGGCGAUGUAGAGUUUUAUAAGUAACGAGGGAGCAGACUAAGGUGAUUAGAACACAAUGUAAUGUCAAGUCUGUAAAUCUUUAAACCAUGAAGAUGGUUGGAUAGUUCAGGAAUCGGUUUCUUUUUAUUAUGGGCAGUCCUUUCACUCAGAUGCCCACUUCUCACUGGAGCUGUAUAUGUGUUGGCUGGCUGGCAUGAUUUGCUGUUGGUGAUGAGGCGGUCAGGGUGACGUUGCAGGGCUAUGGUCGGCUCUCUGUGAGCUCAACGUUUAGAUUUGCUCUGUGUGGUUUGUACCCUGAAUAAUCUAGAUAAUUGUAAAAUGUAGACGCGGUUUUGUAUUGAAUUGACUCCAGGAUUUUAGGUUUAAAGUUGUUGUGGGACGUACAUGGUAGUUUGGUUCUUCGUAUGGUUUUGAGUGAUAUAACUUGUACACACUGGGUGCAUAAUAAUGUAAAGUUACACUGAAUAGUAGUAUUGACCAACAGCAACAAACAGAUCUCCUCAAGGUAAGUCUGUUGGCUGUGUUUUAAUGAAGACCAUCGCUGGACUUCAGGAUCUUCCUCCGUUCAGCUCAAGGUGAGGCGCUGGUUCUGUUUUUUCUUUGGUUGGUUCCGGCCGGAAUGUUCGGAUUCCAGUCGGACGGUUCGUGCUUCCCGCCGUGGAAGGUUCUGAGUGCGGUCACUUGAUUUAGUCCCAAUGGUUAGCAUAGAACGUUGUAGUCUUGACAACCAUAAGAAACCACCUGGCAGUUAGUUGGACAUGAGUCCCCUGAGGGAAUCUGGCGAACGUUCUGGAUUGUAUUUGCGUAACCUCGAGCCGUUGCCAACGGAAACUAUUUUUCAGUCGGUUUCUAUUGGGAAUUGUUGCCCCUAUCUUAAACAACUUAAGUUUGAUAUUAAAUACAUACUGAGACAUACGUCGUACAAUAUAUUGAUAAUUUCCGAUGGUUGCGCCGUACUUUUAACCACGAUGACGUGACGGGACUCUCACUGCGUACAAAACGGCGAUCUACUUGCGGGCCCAUUUUUGACAUCCGGGAAGGCUGAAAAUCAUUUCAAGGUGGAAGAUGAUUUUGACAUUUCUUCAACGGAACCCAGCACCUGAAUAUGGCUGAGUAUGUUUGAUUUAAUAUCGAUACUGCUUGGUGUUCUUUGUUACUUCAGCUUUUGUACGUUCUAAAUAUCUGCUGUCAUUAAUUGCCACAGAAGUUAAACCCUAACCAAUGGAAUGACGUUAAACAACGACUUUGGUGCAGAGUUACCAACUGGAUAAUAUCAAAGCUAAAAUAAUUGCCGUCAUUCCCACAUGUUACAGUAGAAGAUACUCUAGAACUGUACAAGGUUAAAAAUGUAACAUGUAGUUUGUCCCAAGGUGUCUGCCUCCUCACCUAAAGCAAGACCUCCACCUCCUCACCCAGAGCCAGACCUCCACCUCCUGUCAGAAGUCCUCCAGAACAGCUGAAAGGCGAGGCUGAGAGGCUGGGGACCGGAGGCUUGUGGUGCCAGGGUGGACCGGAGACUGAGGCUGGAGACCAGGGGCCUGCAGCACCGGACCAGAGGAACGUGUUUCUGGAGUGGAGGCGAGCUGGUAGGGGAGCCGUGAAUCUGGAGGAUGACCAUCACUCUACCAACAAGGAUUGUAAGUUUGUAUUAACCAAACAACAAAGUGGAAAUAAAGGGCUUAAAAAUAAGACAAACUACAUGUUUGUUACCAGACGUUAGGGCCAGACUUGUGCUGUUUGUUCCAGACCAGGACUCUGAUGGAGGAGAGCUGAUGGAGGAGCCAAGACUCUGGAGGACAACAUCCAUCUACCAACCAGGAUCCUCGUAAGUUUGCAUAAAAUAAACAGUGGACUUGUUGUAACGCAGGAUUAGUUUGUCCAGUACAAGUUACGGCAUACUAAUGUGGUUGGUUACCAGACAAACUAAAGCUGCUACUUUGUUACGUGCCAUAAGAGCCCAACUACUCCUGUGUUUGUGACCUUACAUUAGAGCCCAACUACUUCUGUGUUUGUUACCUGAUAUUAGAGACAAACUACUACUGUGUUUGUGACCUUACAUUAGAGCCCAACUACUACUGUGUUUGUUACCUGAUAUUAGAGCCCAACUACUACUGUGUUUGUUACCUGAUAUCAGAGACAAACUACUACUGUGUUUGUUACCUUACAUUAGAGACUAUUUACUACUGUUUGUUACCUUAAAUCAGAGACAAAUUACGUUUGUAACCAGACCAGGAAUCUGGAGGACUGAUGGAGAAGCCGUACAUCUGGAAGGCAAAUCCUGAGGACAACCAGGACGCUACCAUCAAGGAUUCCUUGUAAGUUUGCAUUAUCUGGACAUAGUGGACCAGACACACCUGAGCUGAACCUCACCUGAUCCUGUUUGGUCAGGGGCAGACACACCUGAGCUGAACCCGCCCUGAUCCUGACAUCCUGCUGGUCCCGUCUCCUCAGUUCAUCUGAGCCUCGUCCACCAGAAGACCUGCUGAGCUCAGCAGUCUGAGGCUGAUGGAUCAAUGACCUCCAGUGGGAGUGAUCUUCUUGCCCCCACAUGUAACCGUGUGCUUCCACACGCCUUUCCCUCACAUCUGUCACUAACCUCACUACUUCACUACUGCUUCCUCUUCUUCUUCCUUUUCUGUGGUUCGAACCUUUACACGGAAGGCGCGUCUUCCUGCCCUCAGAGGGUUCAGCGUUAGGGUUGAGAGUCAGGGUUUAGGGUCAGGGACAGAGCUGGUCAGGGAGGACUGCUUUUACACAAUGCAGAUGCAGGAGGUGGGGUCUGUUGCGUCCCCAGGUGAUUUACUGCUGAGACCAACUGUGUUUGUAACCAGACAAGGAAUCCAUGGCUGAAGGAGCUGAUGGAGGAGCCGUGCUGAUGGAGGAGCCGUGCUGAUGGAGGAGCCGUGCUGAUGGAGGAGCCGUGCUGAUGGAGGAGCUAAAGGAGUCGUGCUGAAGGCCCUGCCUGGUGGAGGAGCUGGUGGAGGCCCUGCCUGGUGAAGGACCUGCCUGACCAGGACUCUGUCGGAGGAGAGCUGAUGGAGGAGCUGAGACACUGGAGGACGACUAGGAAUCGACCAACAAGGAUUCCUCAACGUGUUUCUGGAGCGGAGGCGAGCUGGUAGGGGAGCCGUGAAUCUGGAGGAUGACCAUCACUCUACCAACAAGGAUUACUUUAGGGCCAGACUCGUGCUGUUUGUUCCAGACCAGGACUCUGAUGGAGGAGAGCUGAUGGAGGAGCCAAGACUCUGGAGGAUGACAUCACUCCACCAACCAGGAUCCUCACGAAUUACGUUUGCAAGCAGACCAGGAAUCUGGAGGACUGAUGGAGAAGCCGUACAUCUGGAAGGCAAAUCCUGAGGACCACCAGGACUCUACCGUCAAGGAUCUGGACAUAGUGGACCAGACACACCUGAGCUGAACCUCACCUGAUCCUGUUUGGUCUGGGCAGACACCCCUGAGCUGAACCUCACCUGAUCCUGUUUGGUCGGGGGUAGACACACCCGAGCUAAACCCGCCCUGAUCCUGACAUCCUGCUGGUCCCGUCUCCUCAGUUCAUCUGAGCCUCGUCCUCCAGAAGACCUGCUGAGCUCAGCAGUCUGAGGCUGAUGGAUCAAUGACCUCCAGUGGGAGUGAUCCUCUUGACCCCACAUGUAACUGUGUGCUUCCACACGCCUUUCCCUCACAUCUGUCACUAACCUCACUACUUCACAACUCUCUACUGCUUCCUCUUUUCGUCCUUCUCUGUGGUUCAAACCUUAACACUGAAGGCGCGUCUUCCUGCCCUCGGAGGGUUUAGCGUUAGGGUUGAGAGUCAGGGUUUAGAGUCAGGGACAGAGCUGGUCAGGGAGGACUGCUUUUACACAAACCUCUUCACUUGCUUUCGGAAUGGUGGUGACAUUUUGAAAAGAUUAAAUUUGGGAAACUGUUUUCCUCUGCUUUCCUUUACAAAAUUGUAUUAAACUUCUGUCAAGUGUUUUUGUUUAUACAUUAAAAUCCCACAUUGACUUCUACAUGUUUGAUGUGGUUCAUUUAAUUGUCCUUUAACUUGGUUAAGGUCAAGCUACACUCCUGCAAUUCCAUUUAAUCAUGAUUGGCAUUCAGCAAUGUUCACAUAAUCCAUUUUGUAAAAAU
ensembl:lncRNA